GCAAAGGCUGCUGGGUAGGCUGGACUCGGGCGGGGAAAAGAUGGCUAAUAAAGGCCCGCAGAAGCGGCCUAUUCGCCCUAUCCGUCCUUCUCUCUCGUCUCUUCCUUUCCCCCCCAGACCUCCACCCUCCUCUCCUGCCAUUUUUUUAGGUCCCCGUCGUUUCUGUCAUAAAUUGGGGCGGCCCCAAAGGGACCCCUUGUCUUGGGUCGGGCAGGACCGGCCCGAGGGCUUCUGGGAAGCAGGUGCCCCAGCGCGCCCCGAAGGAAAACGGUGAAGUAACUGAGGCACACAGAAGUGAAGUAACUUGCCCACAAUCACAGAGCUGAUGGAAGACGGAGAGAGACUAACCACCCCCCGCUGCUGAGAAGUCCACCCGCCAUUUGGAGUCCAGCCUGAGCUGAACAUCAUGUCCCUUUCCCAGCCUGUCGAGCACCGGACCAGACGGGAGGUGAGGUUGGACCGAUCAGGAAGUACCUGAGGACCGCACCUCUGAUCCGACGGCUCCCUCCCCGAAGGGCAGGUAGAGAGUGGGAUUGAGCCAACUGAGGGGGGGCUAGAUACAACGGGGUCAGGGACCGGGGACCCACGGACCAAAAUCUCGCCCCACAGAACCUGUCGAGUGGGCAGGUAAGGUGUCUGUCUAUUGCCCUAUUGUGCUUUCCAAGUGCUUAGAAGAGUGCUCUGCACACAAGCGCUCAAUAAACACGACUGAACGAACCUGUCCGUGUCAGCCUUGCCGCCUCUGUAGGGGGAGGGUGGUCCCGGAGUCAGGGGCUGCCCCUGAGGUACAGCGUGUGGGUCUGGGUCUGGGGGACCUGCCCCGAGGGGGAACCUCACACCUUCCUCUCUGAAGAAUCCUCAUCCGGCCUCCGGGAAGGCAGAGAUCAGAUGCUAUGUAUCAUUCCCAGAAGCCCUUUCUCUCCACAUCACCAGCUCCGCCAGAUGCUUCCUUCAACUCCCUCCCGCCGAUAGGGGCCAACCGGUCUUGGGCGACUAAUUUUUUUCCCCCUCUCGACACCCAGGGGUGGAGGAGGGGCAUUGGCCAGCCCCUGAGACGUGUGGGUGCCCGAGGGGUGGCCUUUCCUCUCUAGUGAGCCUGGGAAACUCUCGUCCUUCAGGUCCGGGCAGGGCCUUGGGUGAGGGGGUUCAUUGGUCGAUUCUGGAUUUCGGCGAGGGGCUCUCAUUGGCGUGGUAGGACUCGGUGCCUGGCUCCUCCCUGAGGUGUUUCUCUGCGGGAAAUAAAAAAGGUGGUAUUUGUUAAGCAUUUA